rnacentral:misc_RNA from 1 species
UGUAAUUUACCCCGAUAUUCCCGGCGUAACUUUAAUAAUUUAUUUAUUUUCACUGUUAGGGCAGGGCAUAUGACGUUUUUUGUGGUGAUAUAGUUGAAAAUUUGUGGUCUAAGUUGAAUAAAUUAUGGAGAAAGGAGUUUAGAGAUCGAAUCCUUGGAUUCCCUUUUAUGAAAUACUCCAAUUUGAGGAAUAUUUUAAAAGGAGUAAAGCGUGUGGGGAGAGUGUUUGAUUAGCGUAGGAACAUGUUGGGGGGAGAUGGCAUGUCGUGGGUGCAGUAUGUUGAUAACGCUAGUGUUUGACAUUAAUUAUUGCUUUAACAAAGUUUUUGUCGG